rnacentral:rRNA from 1 species
AUUUUUAUGGAGAGUUUGAUCCUGGCUCAGGAUGAACGCUGGCGGCGUGCCUAAUACAUGCAAGUCGAGCGAACGGACGAGAAGCUUGCUUCUCUGAUGUUAGCGGCGGACGGGUGAGUAACACGUGGAUAACCUACCUAUAAGACUGGGAUAACUUCGGGAAACCGGAGCUAAUACCGGAUAAUAUUUUGAACCGCAUGGUUCAAAAGUGAAAGACGGUCUUGCUGUCACUUAUAGAUGGAUCCGCGCUGCAUUAGCUAGUUGGUAAGGUAACGGCUUACCAAGGCAACGAUGCAUAGCCGACCUGAGAGGGUGAUCGGCCACACUGGAACUGAGACACGGUCCAGACUCCUACGGGAGGCAGCAGUAGGGAAUCUUCCGCAAUGGGCGAAAGCCUGACGGAGCAACGCCGCGUGAGUGAUGAAGGUCUUCGGAUCGUAAAACUCUGUUAUUAGGGAAGAACAUAUGUGUAAGUAACUGUGCACAUCUUGACGGUACCUAAUCAGAAAGCCACGGCUAACUACGUGCCAGCAGCCGCGGUAAUACGUAGGUGGCAAGCGUUAUCCGGAAUUAUUGGGCGUAAAGCGCGCGUAGGCGGUUUUUUAAGUCUGAUGUGAAAGCCCACGGCUCAACCGUGGAGGGUCAUUGGAAACUGGAAAACUUGAGUGCAGAAGAGGAAAGUGGAAUUCCAUGUGUAGCGGUGAAAUGCGCAGAGAUAUGGAGGAACACCAGUGGCGAAGGCGACUUUCUGGUCUGUAACUGACGCUGAUGUGCGAAAGCGUGGGGAUCAAACAGGAUUAGAUACCCUGGUAGUCCACGCCGUAAACGAUGAGUGCUAAGUGUUAGGGGGUUUCCGCCCCUUAGUGCUGCAGCUAACGCAUUAAGCACUCCGCCUGGGGAGUACGACCGCAAGGUUGAAACUCAAAGGAAUUGACGGGGACCCGCACAAGCGGUGGAGCAUGUGGUUUAAUUCGAAGCAACGCGAAGAACCUUACCAAAUCUUGACAUCCUUUGACAACUCUAGAGAUAGAGCCUUCCCCUUCGGGGGACAAAGUGACAGGUGGUGCAUGGUUGUCGUCAGCUCGUGUCGUGAGAUGUUGGGUUAAGUCCCGCAACGAGCGCAACCCUUAAGCUUAGUUGCCACCAUUAAGUUGGGCACUCUAAGUUGACUGCCGGUGACAAACCGGAGGAAGGUGGGGAUGACGUCAAAUCAUCAUGCCCCUUAUGAUUUGGGCUACACACGUGCUACAAUGGACAAUACAAAGGGCAGCGAAACCGCGAGGUCAAGCAAAUCCCAUAAAGUUGUUCUCAGUUCGGAUUGUAGUCUGCAACUCGACUACAUGAAGCUGGAAUCGCUAGUAAUCGUAGAUCAGCAUGCUACGGUGAAUACGUUCCCGGGUCUUGUACACACCGCCCGUCACACCACGAGAGUUUGUAACACCCGAAGCCGGUGGAGUAACCUUUUAGGAGCUAGCCGUCGAAGGUGGGACAAAUGAUUGGGGUGAAGUCGUAACAAGGUAGCCGUAUCGGAAGGUGCGGCUGGAUCACCUCCUUU